AGAAUAAUGCAAUAUUAAUUAAACUUAACAAUAUGUCAAGGACAUGAAUCUUGAAGAACCAAAAGAUCAAGUCAUUCUUGUAUUAUUCAAUAAGACUAAAUAAUCACUCAAAGAUGGUAUAAUAUUAAACUUGAAUGACUAUUGCCAAAGACCAAAAAACUACAAGGUCUUGAAAUAAGAUUAAAGACUAAAAAAGCAUUGACAAGAGUGAAGGUUUUA
rnacentral:lncRNA from 1 species